GGGCAGCUGCCUCUGUGCGCGAGGGCGGGAGCCCCAGAACCCGCGGAGGGUCCCCGCGGCAGCGGGUGGGAUGAGGCGCCGCACAAUGGGGCAUUGAGGGCGGCCUGCGGGCCAGGGCUGCUCCCGCCAGCUGAUGCUGAUGUCAUCUUCCGCCAGGAGUCCCUCCCGUGGACCUGACAGAUGCCCCAGGAAGCUACGGAGGAGCCAGAGGAAGCCCAGGCCCCGACCCAGGGUCUACGCAGCGAGGAGGCCAGGCAGCGCCCCAGGUCCCCGGCACACGUGGUCAGGGCCAGCAGAGCGCAGACGGCAAGCCUGAGGGGGACUGCAGGUGGCUGCAGAAGACAGGACAGGACAGGGAAGAGCCCAGCAAGGCCUCCAGGGGACAGAGGCAGCUGCGCUCAGCCCGUGCCCUGCAGGGUCCUGGUGGCCAGCUGGCCCCCUGCAGAGAGGAGGCAGCCUCCUGAGCCGCCCCAGGGCAGCAGGGCCCCGGCCACGCAAGCCCAGUCAGGGCCUUGAACUUUAUCCCAGGGCUGAGGACCCUGCAUGUGACAAGGACGAGGCCAUUGCUGCUUUAGAAGCUUCCAGCUUCCGAGUGGAAGUGUCCGGGGUGGCAGGUGGGAGGAGGCUCAAGGCUGUCCUGGCGGGAGACGAAGGGUGACCCGCCAGGGACAGGACCUCAGCAGCCCGUCUCCCAGCUGCUCUCCAGAAAGGCCCUUCUGAGACGUGCAGGGGGUGCCGUGGGGCAGGACGGGCCUACUCCUGCCUGAGUCCCGGACGCUUCCAGCACCCUGCCACUGCCCCGAGACCCAGUCCCGUGGCCACCUGGACUCCGUAGACAUCAGAACCUGACCAUGUUGGAUUCCCUCCCUCUGUCUCCAGCACUCA